GAAUAGUAUUUGAUGGCCAUGAAAUUUAAAUAUAUUGGCGGUACUUUACCUAAUUAGAGGAACUUGUUCUAUAAUUGAUAAUCCACAUUAAAUUUUACUUGAUUAAGCUAUUUGUAUACCGCCGUUGAUAGAUAAAUCUUUAUGGAAUUAUCAAAAAAUAAUUUUUUACAUCAGGUCAAGGUUCAGUUUAUAAUUAAGUUUGAAAUGAGUUACAAUAAAAUUUAUUUAGAUGGAUACUAUUAUGAAACAGUAAAUUGAAAAUGGAUUUAACAGUAAUUUUAAAAAUAGUAAUUUAUUUUGAAAUAGAAAUGAAGUAUGU
rnacentral:rRNA from 1 species